CCAAAAUCAUGCAUAUAUCAUC
rnacentral:misc_RNA from 1 species